rnacentral:tRNA from 1 species
GAGAGGGGCCCGACGGCAAUAAUGACUGCUAAUCCUUUAUCUCCAUGGUUAAACCCCAUGGUCCACUCG